rnacentral:lncRNA from 1 species
AUGACUCCUAAAUAUUCUUCUGGGGAAAAGCAAUAUUUUGAACUGAGCGACGAUUUAAAUGUUUUCUACUAUGGAAGCAGGCUGAAGGGCUUGAAUGGGAAGAGGAUGGAUGGUUGCACGGCUGCCCUGGUAGAUGCUGAAUGUCCUCUGGGUGAUACCAUUAGUAAUGGUCCAUCUGUUCUCUUCCAGUGCCCUGAUCACCCUCCUGUGGCCAGUAAUCCUCAAACCUCAUUUUUUCUUAUUGAGGAUUUAAGCUGA